AAGCGCUUGUGACCAGACUUGGGCUUGGUUGAUCAUCCGGGGUUCUCCCCGGUGCACUCUUCCGGCUCAGGCCAGCAUCAGUUCGCCCUGGGGGAUAAAGGCUUCGGGAAUGUGGCUCUCUCCGGGGAGUGUUAUAACCCAGGGUAUAAUACCCCUAAGGAGACCGAGGUUCGCGCUCUGCAAGGAUGCUGGCGUAAUGGUCAUCAGCGA
rnacentral:rRNA from 1 species